GGGGGUAUAACUCAGUGGUAGAGCACAUACUUAGCAUGCAUGAGGCCCUGGGUUUGAUCCCUAGCACCUCCA
rnacentral:tRNA from 1 species